UGACUUAGAUCUUGGAAAUGGCGCAGUGAAAACAUUGCAGCCUCAGGUUUGGGUGUUGAGUGCUGGUUUCCAUAACCCCACACUUUCUGUUCAUUCAUGCUGGUUAUUUGUUUUACAGACCCACGACAGCUGACCGAGGCAGAUGACCCUUGCAGAUUUCAUGCACUGAUUAGUUUAAGAAACUAAGGAGAAAGCAGAGUGGGGAUGUAUGAAGGACGCUGACCCUAUUCCCCCAUGUCCACUUGGAUCUCCAGCUCUAGCCUUUGAGGGCAUGCGAGCACAAAUCCUCUCACGCUGCACAUUUUGGUCUGCCCAGAAAGUUGCUCACGGUGUACAAUGCCUGUACUUUGGCUCAAGCUCUCAAGGGGAUUCAAUGUCUCAACACGCGCAAAGCCCGGCCAGGCUAGUUGUCUGAUGAUUAAAAAGUUUUCCAAAAGGGGAAUAUUUAUAAAGUAGCGACUGUUACUCUUUCUAGGCCAUUGACUAACGGAAUGGCUGACCUUAGGAAAGACCUAAGAUUCCCUGGGUGAGAGCGACGCCAUUCCACGGCAGAGAGGAGAUGCUGCCGCCCCGUCUCUGUUGUCUACAGGUGACCUCACCGUGGCAAGCACCUCGUUUGCACCUGCACGGUGCGCGGUGUCACCCGCCCUCUCUCGGGAGCCCCCAAGUCACAAGCAAACACAUGGCCUGGGCGAGCUCCUACCCACCUUGCUUCAGCCCCCGCCUGCAGCCUCUGCUCCCCCGGCAGCGCCUCCCGCCUGCGGGGCCCGCGCCCGCCUCUGGGCUCGGUCCUCUCCGAGCGCCGUCGUGGUGCACCAAACCCUCUCAGCUCCGCGGUCCCAGGAGUCCACGGGGGUCAGCGGUGCGAUGGGCCCUGGCCAGCGAGGAGCCGCGCGGGCGGCACGGGAAGGCGCUGCCCUCCCUCGCCGGCUUUCUCUGGCCCUGCUGGGGUAAAUGCGCCCUCUGCCCGUCGGGCACGCUCAGACUUCUAGCCCGGGCCAUGGACGGGUCCAGAUUCCAGAGGCUUGGAGCGCGUGGGUGGCGAUGCACCGAUGCCCUAAAAAGGCGUCUGUGACUGCAGCCGAAACGCCGAGAGCAAGUGCAGCUGGCUUGCGCUCUGUGCCCAGAUACGCGCCGCCGAACAGGCGGAAGGCCAUGGCCACGAGGAGCGGUCACUGCAGCGAAAACUGGCCGUGCGGCUCCCGGCACAGACGGGCGCAGCCGGCCCUCAGGCCUCUGCCCCGGCGCCACCGCUCGCUCUGUCGUCGCGCUUCUGAACUGUCCUCUGAGGAGAAGAAAACACAGACAGGUCACUUUCAUACUGAUGGCAGAGGAACGAGAGCGGUUCCAUGGGACAGAGAAAGCGUGACGCUGCUUCCCCCACACAGGUGACCCGGGAUUCCAUCUUCACGUAGCGAAACGUGAAAUAUCCAGUGAAAAUGAAGAUAUUGUAGCGGAUGUUUAAGAACCUCUGGACAAAGGAGUUGCAGCGCUGACCACGUCUCAUCUUUCUUUGCAGACUUGUGAACCAGUUCUGGAGGUUUCUGUUCUGUGACCAACAUUUAAUGACGUGUCUGUAAAAGGCGAAGGUCCCAGACUAAGAAUAUUUCUCCUUGACAAAGUUCAGAGUCUAUAAUUCACAGUAGCAGAUUCCAGGCUAAUUUGUAGAGUUUGUAUCUUUUAUGUCUUUAGAUAGAUAAUGGCUUAUGAGUGGAUUGGAUUACAUAUAAAAGAAGACAAGGCAUUCUUUAUAUAGAAUUACUAUUCAAUUUAUCAAUAUCUUCAUACAUUUUUAAAAUUUAUUUAACAAAGAAAGUGAUUGUUUGAUAUAAGUGGUGCGUUUAACAUAACUCUUUUAUAUGCUGUUAUUCUGUAUUUUUAAAAAAUGCCUUAAAUCGCAUAAUGUUGUAAACUCAUGUCACUGCAAGAAAAUAUCCGUGUUCUUAAAUUAUUACUAUUAAGGUAAAGAUCUAUCUACUAUAUUACAGCUGCAGAGAGAUGUGUUUGACAGCUGACUUCUGAGCUUUAAUCUAGUUUAGUCUCCAUGCUUGACGUUGGAAAAGGAGCUGAAUUUCAGCUUUAAGAUAAUGCAAAUUUAUGCAAAAGCACUCUAAUUAUUCCAAUUCAAUUCCAAUUUAAUCAUUAAAAUGUACCUUCUUUUUCA